CAGUAGCCGCGGUAAUACGAGGGGGGCAAGCGCUGUUCGGAAUUAUUGGGCGUAAAGGGUGCGUAGGCGGCUUGACAAGUCUUGUGUGAAAUCUAUGGGCUCAACCCAUAGUCUGCACGGGAAACUGUCGGGCUUGAGAAUGGGAGAGGUGAGUGGAAUUUCCGGUGUAGCGGUGAAAUGCGUAGAUAUCGGAAGGAACACCUGUGGCGAAAGCGGCUCACUGGACCAUUUCUGACGCUGAUGCACGAAAGCUAGGGGAGCAAACAGGAUUAGAUACCCGGGUAGUCCCUGUCUCUUAUAA
rnacentral:rRNA from 1 species